rnacentral:rRNA from 1 species
AGCGAACGCUGGCGGCGUGCCUAACACAUGCAAGUCGAACGUGAAAGGGAGCAAUCCCAAGUAAAGUGGCGUACGGGUGAGUAACACGUAGGUAAUCUACCCCAGAAUCUGGAAUAACCGGCCGAAAGGCUGGCUAAUACUGGAUAGAGCGACGGAAUCCGUAAUUGGGUUUUUCGGGAAAGGGAGCCUGUAAAAAGGCCUUCGUUCUGGGAUGAGCCUGCGUCCCAUCAGCUAGUUGGUGAGGUAAAAGCUUACCAAGGCAAUGACGGGUAGCUGGUCGGAGAGGACGAUCAGCCACACUGGAACUGAAACACGGGCCAGACUCCUACGGGAGGCAGCAGUGGGGAAUCUUGCGCAAUGGACGAAAGUCUGACGCAGCAACGCCGCGUGAGUGAAGAAGGCCUUCGGGUUGUAAAGCUCUGUCGAGUGGGACGAAAAUGCUUGGAGUUCAAAGCUCCAGGAACUGACGGUACCACUAAAGGAAGCACCGGCUAACUCCGUG